GGUCUGAGAAAUAAGAGUAUAAAGAAAGGAAUUUUACAGCUGGGCCACCGGGGGUGACAUCACGUAUUGGUAGGUCCAUGAUGCCCCCCUGAGCCACAAAACCAGCAAGUUUUUAUUAGGGAUUUUAAAAGGGGAGGGGUGUAUGAACAGGGAGUAGGUCACAAAGAUCACAUGCUUCAAAGGGCAGAAGGCAGAGCAAAGAUGACAUGCUUCUGAAGAAACAGGACCAGAGCAAAAUCAGAAACUCCUGAUAAGGGUCUAUGUUCAGCGGUGCAUGUAUUGUCUUGAUAAACAUCUUAACAGAAAACAGGGUUCAGAGCAAAGAACCGGCCUGACCUCAAAUUUACCAGGACUGGGGUUUCCCAAUCCUAGUAAGCCUGAGGGUACUGCAGGAGACCAGGGCGUAUCUCAGUCCUUAUCUCAACCACAUAGGACAGACACUCCCAGAGCGGCCGUUUAUAGACCUCCCCCCAGGAAUGCAAUUCUUUCCCUAGGGUCUUAGUAUUAUAUUCCUUGCUAGGAAAAGAAUUUAGCAAUAUCUCUCCUACUUGCACGUCCAUUUAUAGGCUCUCUGCAAGAAGAAAAAUAUGGCUUUUUGCCCGACCCCUCAGGCAGUCAGACCUUAUGGUUGUCUUCCUUUGUUCCCUAAAAUCACUGUUAUUCUGUUCAUUUUCAAGGUGCACUGAUUUCAUAUUGUUCAAACACAUGUGAACAUGUUUUACAAUCAAUUUGUACAAUAGUGGUCCUGAGGUGACGUAUAUCCUCAGCUUACAAAGAUAACAGGAUUAAGAGAUUAAAGUAAGACAGGUGUAAGAAAUUAUAAAAGUAUUAAUUUUGGAAACUGAUAAAUGUCCAAGAAAUCUUCACAAUUUAUGUUUCCUGAUGCAGCACCAGCUGGUCCCUCCAUUCGGGGUCCCUGACUUCCCACAACAGCCAGGCUUUCUUGGGCAGAGGUUCCUGUGGCUUUCCACAGUGCAUUGAGCCCCUGGUUAAUCGAGAAUGGAGAAUGGCGAUGACUUUUACCAAACAUACUGCCUGCAAACAUAUUGUUAACAAGGUACAUCCUGCACAGCCCUAGAUCCCUUAAACCUUACAGCACAUGUUUCCGUGAGCACAGGGUUGGGGCUAAAGUUACAGAUUAACAGCAUCUCAAGGCAAAACAAUUUUUCUUAGUACAGAUCAAAAUGGAGUUUCUUAUGUCUUCCUUUUCUACAUAGACACAGUGAAAGUCUGAUCUCUCUUUUCCUUACAUAUCCCCCCCUUUUCUUUUUGACAAAACCACCAUCGUCACUAUGGCCCAUUCUUGCUGGUUGCUGUCUCUUUGGAGCUGCUGGAUACACCUGUAGACUAACAACAGACAGAACAGGCAUACAAGGAUUAAUAUGAAAUUUACAAUAGUGAAACUUCUGAUGCUUUUAACCCAAGUGACUGGCUUAAGAUUUGUGAGGCUAUCAGCAGCUUUCACGAUUGUCUCCGUUCCUGGCACCAAAUUUAAAUGGGCUUUUGAUGCCUCAAAAAUUUUUUCUUGGCUGGGCACGGUGGCUCACGACUGUAAUCCCAGCACUUUGGGAGGCCAAGGUGGGCAGAUCACAAGGUCAGGAGAUCGAGACCAUCCUGGCUAACACGGUGAAACUCCAUCUCUAUUAAAAACCCAAAAAAAAUUAGCCAGGCAUGGUGGUGGGCUCCUGUAGUCCCAACUACUUGGGAGGCUGAGGCAGGAGAAUGGUGUAAACCCAGGAGGCGGAACUUGCAGUGAGCUGAGAUCACGCCACUGCACUCCAGCCUGGGCGACAGAGCGAGACUCUGUCUCAAAGAAAAAAAAAAUUCUUUUAAUUUUGAAAUGUCUAAAGUAAGAUUAUCUUCUCCUCCUUGCAGAUGGCAUCUAACCAUGUCCCAGUGAUGCUCAGACUCAUUAUAGGCUUGUGGUGUAACACAAAAAUCUGAUGUAUUCCAGUCACAUCGUAACUGAAAAAGAUAUUCCAAGCUCAUGAGCCUCUCCCAUCCAAAUGACAGUUUGUCUAAGAUCAUUAAUUUGGUUUGCCAAUUUUUGAUCUAUUUGGAUCUGAGAAUUCCACAAUUUUGAGGAAUUCUUUUGCCAAUCAUUUACGUAUUCUGCAGUUUGAACAGAGGAGUGUAAAGCAAUUCCAGCAGCCGCAGCAGUAGCUGUGACUGCAAUGAGGCCCAUAAUCACUGCCAUCAAAGUAAAAAUGAAUCUUUUGGAUCUAGUUAGAAUUCCUUUUAAUACUUCCGUUAAAAUAUGGAUGGAUAGCGAAGCCUCCCAUGGUCGGUCCAUGGACACAAGGAUCCACACACCCUCUCUUGCUCUUCCUAGUAGAAUACGGUGCUGCCAAUUAAAAGUCAAAUCAAUGCAAGUAAACAUUCCACAAUUUUCACAGAUUAUGGUUUGGGAAUCAGGUUUAAUAACUAUGUUUUUCCUACAACUAGCAAUAUAAGGGAGUUUUACACAAUUUUGCAAAGGAAUUGUCAGACUGGAAUUUAGGUUGAUAGUAUAAUAUGACUUACGAUCUCUUGUUCCUAUAGCUUGAUUUCCAGAACAAAUUCUAAUGUGGUGUGAGGCCACAGUAAGCUUCCUAAUUCUGGAUGUUCAGGACCAGUAACAGGACUAACUUUGGUCAAGGUGAUGAAAUUCCCUUUUCACCCCAUUUCCUUGGACAGAGUGAUUCUAACCUUCUAUAAACCUGGUCCAGCCUUUCAGUUACAUCACCGUCAUAGGCUGGAUUAAUGGGCCAGAUGGAUGGGGCCUGUGAACAUGAAUGAGUCUGGCCUGUACAGUUAUGAUAUAAUUGGCCUCAAGGGACCCAGUCUAUCAUAGUUCAAAAUUCAUUGUUUUGUACUACACUGCAGUAUCAGCCACACAUUCUCCGCAGACUAAGACUUCUGGGCUUUUUGAUUCUUUGGGAAUUUCCUUGGGGCAAGCCUUCCCCUUAGGCCUACAUUGUAAUGAUCUUUGAUAAGAAGGGUCCUGUAAAUUAUUUAUCUGUGACAUUCCACUUACCAUGUGAUAAGUAAAUCUACUGGUAGCACUGACUGUAGGUACUUCUACCAACCAAUUUUGGGUUGUAGGCAUUAAGCAUCCUGGUGCCUUCCCUAGGCAAACAGGAGGAUAAGGAUACCCAAUGGAAAUAUUCAUCAUCAUUCCUUCUUCAGGUUGGGCAGGGCAACAGUCAUCUGUGGGGCCAGGCACCCAUGCACUAUUAUUAACAUCUACUUCAAUAGGAUUAUCCAUCUAUGUAACUGCCCGAAUUAAGGGUGGGAAAGGCACAUAGGCCCAGUAAGUAUAAUUAGCUGCAGCUGCUCCUGCAGACUUGGGAAGACUUACCACCGUUGAUACAAUCAUCAGAGCUGCAAGCAGCAUAUUCUCUGGAGUUGGUGUCACCUUUGUAUUCUCUAGGCUUUUUUUUUUAGCUAACUGUGUCAGCUUCUUUAAUUGUGCCUAUAUUGGCAACUCUGCUUCCUUGAUGGAAGGCAACUUUUUCUGUUCUUCUGAUAUCACCAUUUUGUUUACCUGGCGAGUCGAUUGGGGUGUCUCCAUCUCCACACUUUUCUUUGCAUCUCCAGUGAGUUCAUUGUAGAACUUUAAAUGUCUAGUGGGUAUCCAAACAGGAAGCUGAUUUUCUCCUGGUGAAACACAAGCAAAACCUCUCCCCCACGUUAUCACCUUCCCCAUUUCCCAUGUUUUAUUUUUAUUAUCUUUCCACCAAAUCAGUUUUCCUUCAUGUGGGCUGUUCCUUUUACCAGUAAGAUGUUGUUCUGCAGAGGUAGUGGUCUGAUUUCUAUAAAUGUUUAAAACAUUUAAAGUAUAGAGUGCUAGAUUAAGUUGCAUCUGGGGAGUGUUAUACUCCUGUCUUUUCCUUUUUUUUGUUUAACCAAUUGAGCUUUGAGUGUUCUAUUAGUUCUUUCAAUUAUGGCCUGUCCUUGGGAAUUAUAGAGAAUUCCUAUUGUAUGUGUAAUUUUCCACUGAUUUAAGAAUUUUUGAACUGCUUUACUACAGUAACCUGGCCCAUUGUCUGUUUUAACUUUUUCUGGAACUCCCAUGACAGGAAAACAAGAUAAUAAAUGUCUUUUAACAUGGGAAGUACUUUCUCCUGUCUGGCAGGUUGCCCAUAUGAAAUGUGAAUAAGUAUCAACUGUCACAUGGACAAAUGACAAUUUUCCAAAUGAAGGUACGUGCAUGACAUCCAUUUGCCAUAACACAUUAGGACAUAGACCUCUGGGAUUAACUCUUGCCUCCUGAGUGGCCAGGUGUAGAAUCUGACACUGGGUGCAAUGUUGUACAAUAUUUUUUGUCUGUUUCCAUGUGAUAUCAAAUUUAUUUUUUAAUCCUAUUGCAUUUACAUGAGUCAAGGCAUGAAGUUCUUGUGCUUCCAUGAAUGCAGAUGAUACUAGCAAGUCAGCUUGUUCAUUUGCUUUAGUUAAAGGCCCUGGUAAAUUAGUGUGUGCUCGAAUAUGAGUAAUAUAAAAUGGGAAAUUUCUUUUUCUUACAUUUUGUUGUAACAAAUUAAACAGCGGGUUUAACUGAUCAUCCAUAAUGUAUUUGAUUAGGGCUCUCUCAAUAUCCUUUGUAGCCUGUACUACAUAUGCAGAAUCUGAUACAAUGUUAAUAGACUGAUUAAAAUCUUGUUAACACUGUAAUGACGGCAACCAACUCUGCUCUUUGAGUCAAGUGAUACUGAGUUUUGAUGACUCAUUCUUUUGGCCCGGUGUAAGCCACUUUUCCAUUGCUGGAACCAUCAGUAAACACUGCCAGAGCAUUUUUUAAAGGCUUAUGUUUGGUAACUUUAGGUAAAAUCCAAGUAGUCAAUUUUAAAAACUGGAAGAUUUUUGUUUUGGGGUAACGAUUGUCAAUAAUUCCCACAAAAUCGGCAAGACCAAUCUGCCAUGCACCAGAAUUGAUAAAGGCUUGUCUAACCUGUUGCUUGUUGAAAGGAACAGUGAUUUUAUCUGGGUCAUUUCCACACAAUGUUAUUAUUCAUAAUCUUCCCUGACCAAUUAAUGUAGCCAUUUGAUCCAAGUACAAUGUAAAAGUCUUAAUUGUACUGUGAGGAAGGAAGGACCACUCCACAAGAUCUGUAUUUUGAACAAUGAUGCCUGUUAGGGAAUGUGCAGUAGCAAAAAUCAAAAUUUGGAGUGGGGCCAAGUGAUCUAUUCUAUUUACUUGUGCUGACCGAAUUUUUUCUUCAAUUAAUUUAAUUUCUUUAGUUGCCUCUGGAGUUAACGUUCUUUCACUAUUUAAUUCCGAGUCCCCUCUUAAGAAAGAGAACAAAUUUGACAUGGCAUAAGUAGGAAUGCCUAGAGUUGGCCAAAUCCAAUUAAUAUCUCCAAAUCCAAUUAGUAUCUCCUAGCAACUUUUGAAACUCAUUUAAUGCUUUUAAUGUGUCUUUUCUUAUUUCUAUUUUUUGUGGUUUAAUUUUCCUUUCCUCUACCUGCAUUCCCAAGUAACGGAAAGGAGUAGAGGUUUGAAUCUUAUCAGAUGUUAUUGUCAGUCCCGCGUUGGCAACCUCUGUCUGCAGAAAUGUGUAACGGUCAAUUAAUUUGUCUCUCGUUUCUGCAGCACACAAAAUAUCAACAUAGUGAACGAUGUAACAGUCUGAAAACUUGUCUCUAACUGGUUGCAGAGCUUGAGCUGACAAAUAGUUGAACUAUUAAGCAUUCCCUGAGGCAAUACUUUCCACUGAAACCUGGUGGCUGGUUCUUUAUUAUUUAGGCUGGUGUGGUAAAAGCAAAUUUUUCAAAAUCCUGUUUUGCCAGAGGAAUGGUAAAAAAGCAAUCCUUCAGAUCAAUUAUAAUUAAAGGGGACCAUGGCUGGAGAGGGCAACCGGGGUGGGAGAGCCCCCAUGGGUUGAAUUACGGCAUUAUACGCCAUCUGCCGGAUUUUUUCUGAAUUACAAACAGAAUUCCAAGGCGAAAAUGAAGGCUCAAUGUCCUUUUUCUAAUUGUUUCUUUGCUAAUAAAUGUAAAGCCUCCAGUUUUUGUUUUGGAAGCGCUGCUGAUUUACCAUACAGUUGUUUUUUUUUCCCCCAAGUUAAUGGAAUGGGUUUUGGAGGCUCUACAGUGACCGCUCCUAAAAAGGAUGCCCUAUUCCUUUUCUUUUUUGAUUUUUUUCAGCCUCAAUUGGGACUUCUUUCCUAGUCCCUUUUUAGGGAGCUAUCCCAUUUUAGUCAUGAUUUUUUUAUUCCUGGGGCUGUAUAGGGAGGCUGGGAUAGUAAUCUCUGCAUGCCAUUGUUGUAACAAGUCUCGGCCCCAUAAAUUGAUUGGAAUGAAGUGAUCACAGGCUGAACCGUACUUUCUUGAUUAUCAGAUCCUGGACAAUGUAAAAUCAUGGCACUUUGAUACACUUCUGAGGCAGUACCUAUGCCGAUGACAGAAACAUCAGCCUGGGUAUCCACUAAUCCUUCAAACUCUUUCCCUGAAUAGUGACUGUACACACGGGUCUAUCCUCUGAGACCUGAUUAGCCCAAUAAGCAGCUUUUCCUGCAGGGUUGGUACUUCCAAACCCUCCUGUUCUUUCCUUUUUGUUUUCCCCAAUUUUAACAUAAGGCAAAAGCAGUAAUUGAGCAAUUCUAUCACCUGGAUUGGCACUCCGGGGAACAGUGGAGCUGAUCACUAACUGAAUUCCCCCUUUAUAAUCUGAAUAAAUUACCCCAGUAUGAAUUUGGACUCCCUUCAAAUUUAGACUUGAUCUCCCUCAAAGGCCUACCCUCCCUUCUGGCAGCGGGCCAUAUACCCCUCUAGGAAUCUUUUGUGGGGGCUUUCCAGGGAGUAAAAAGACCAUUUGGGUGGAACAUAAAUCUACUGCGGUGCUGCCUGCUGUGGCGCGGGACAGCUGUUGGAUUGUUGUAAUUGGCUGACUCCCUGAAGUGGUGGUAUUUUCUGUAGGGGUUGUUGUCCUUGAAAACCCUGAGGAACAAACAGUUUAACUGGGAAUGCCCCAGUUUGUUGGGGGGCCUGAGGCUGGCCCCUCUUCCUGUUUCCAGACAAUGGUUGCCCAUCUUUAUCAAAUUUAGAAUGACAUUGAUUGGCCCAAUGUUUUGCUUUUCCACAUUUUGGACACAGGCCAGAUGGCUUUUUAUUUUUUGCUGUUAAUAGCUUGAUUUAUUAUAUUCUGUUUAUUUAAGCCUGGGCAACUCCUUUUCAGAUGACCGAUUUGACCACAAUUAUAACAUUUUUUCCCAAAUGUUCUAACUUGUCCUCCUAGAGUGAGCCCCCUCAUUGCUUGAGCCAUUAGCAUUGCCUUAUGCAUAGCUCCUCCAAUCCCAUCACAAGCCUUCACAUAUUCUGUAAUUACAUCAACUCCUGCUGGAACUUUUCCUUUUAAUGGCUUUAUGGCCGACUGACAUUCUGGAUUUGCAUUUUCAUAGGCCAUUAAUUCUACAAUAACUUUUCGGGCAUUGUCAUCUGUAAUAGACUUUUGAGCAGCAUCUUGUAAUCUUGCCACAAAGUCAGGAUAUGGCUCUUUAGAGCCUUGUCUAAUUGAAUUAAUAGGGAAAGCUGUUCCUGGGUCCUGAAUUUUUCCCCAGGCCCUGAGGCAAAUAGCCCUUACUUGUUCAAUAGCCUCAUUCUGCAUCACUGAUUGUUGGUUAAUGGUGCUCCAAUUUGGACCUGUUCCUAACAAUUGGUCUGCGUCUAUAUUAACAGUGGGCUUAGUAGCCUGAUUUUUUCGUACCUGUUCUUGUACUCCAUCAAUCCACCAGGUUUUAAACUGUAGAUACUGAGAGGAUGAAAGGGAAGAUUUGGCCAAAAUUUCCCAGUCAUAAGGAGUUCACAUCUAGUCUCAGCUCGGGCAGGCGCUCCUACUUGAGUCUCUUCCCCGGCCUGUACCAGUUGUAAAAUUACCAGGAACCGCCAUGCCUCAAGAUCGCCCUGUUUUCUGGCUUCAUCAAUGACUGCAUGCAGUGCACCACCCUGUCCACUACGUGAUGCUGUAGGAUUAAGUCUCACAGUGGGCGGCUGAGGAUACAGCGCCGCGUCCUGUGUUGCUGGUGAAUUAGACGCCAUCGCUGUGGGUUGCUGGUAUGGUGCCGUGCUAUUUGGCACAGGACACACCGCUUGAGGUCUGUAUUGAACCUCUGAAGGAGGCCGAUACUGAAGCUCGGUUGGCAGCCGGUAUUGAUAAACUACCAGCGGUUGGGUCUUAUUUUCUACCGGCUGAUAUUGUGGAUACUGUAUCUGAGUUGGCAUUGCCGGGAUAGAGACUCUGUCCCUUUCUACUUGAUUUUCUCUUGGGGUUUGUGCUUGUCUAACCUGCGUUUGAGGUUGUAAUGUUACAGGCAUCUGAACCACGGGAGGAGGAGUUGAUGGCGAUCGUGGUUUAGGCUCUGAUGGCCCCAAUGAUUCUGGACCUCCUUCCCCCAAUUUUGAUGAUUCAGGGUAUAUUAUCUCCUGUAAUUGACUGUAGUCAACAUUUUGCGUUGACUGAGCCAUUACAGACUCUGCUACAUAUUUACAAUGUGAACUUUCCGUUCCUUGCUGGGAUUCUGUCCCUGCCUCUUCUUCACAAUCUGUUACACAGCUUUUAGGGGCAUCAGAAACUGAAACAAUAUCUUCUCCUGUUUGAAAUGGUUCUAAAGUUGCUUUAAUAAUGGCCCAAUCAUUCCAUACUGUAAGUGGGAUGAUUUUACCUUCCCUAUUUGCUUGUUUUAAUUCUUUGCCAAUUUUUUCCCAAUCUUUUAGAUCUAAAGUUCCCUGUUCUGGAAACCAUGGGCAGAAUUGUUCUAUUGUUUGAAAUAGCGUAAUUAGAUUUUCUGUAGAAGCUCUAACUCCCCCUCUUCUUAAAAGAAUUUUAAUAAAGCUGAGAUAAGAGGCAUAUUUACUUUCAGUUUGCCCCAUCGUUACCCUGGGUUCCUCUAAGCACACAAGCUUACCGCAAGGCUGACCGUGGACGUACUUGGGACUCUCUCGUCAACUUGUCCUCAAUGACCACACUGUAGAGUACCUUCACCCUAGAGAAAGGCACCCACAUUGGGCAUCAGAUGAAGGGGGCCAGCCCCUCCACACCUGU
rnacentral:lncRNA from 1 species